GGCCGAGUGGUGUAGUUGGUUAUCACGUUUCGUUAACAAAAAAGAUCACUCGAUCCGAAAAGGUCCUGAGUUCGAGUCUCAGCUUGGUCA
rnacentral:tRNA from 1 species